rnacentral:rRNA from 1 species
GUGAGUAGUUCAGAGUUUGAUCCUGGCUCAGGACGAACGCUGGCGGCGUGCCUAACACAUGCAAGUCGAACGGGGUAAAGAGCUCGGUUUUUACUUAGUGGCGAACGGGUGAGUAACGCGUGAGGAACCUGCCUCUCAGUGGGGGACAACAGUUGGAAACGACUGCUAAUACCGCAUAAUAUAAUCGAACCGCAUGAUUUGAUUAUCAAAGCUUUAUGUGCUGAGAGAUGGUCUCGCGUCUGAUUAGCUAGAUGGCGGGGUAACGGCCCACCAUGGCGACGAUCAGUAGCCGGUCUGAGAGGAUGAACGGCCACAUUGGGACUGAGAUACGGCCCAG